UAGUUGGCUGGUAGACGUAUCAGUACGAUUGGUGGUUCGACGGUUAUCCAUUUCAGUUCAUCUGCUCUAACGUAGAUUUGGAAAAAAAUUGACAAGUAAUAUUUCGCUUUUCGAUCCCUGGGUUGGUUUCAGUGACGGACGAUGAGGCAGUUACGGUAUUGUGUUCCACACCGACUCAGUUUUCCGUCUCGCUGUCUCUUAUGUGGUCUCUACGGAAUGAUUUAAGUUUUAAGUGUUUCGUUUAUUGGCGGGAAUGAUGCUACGAUGAAUAUUCAAGACUGGUUGAAAAAAAGAAAAAAAUUGCUGUUUUCCAGAAAUUCAUCUGAACUUCAAAUAUCCUAUUUUUUCCUUUUCCUCCACCCCAUCGGGGGCGGUGCCCCUGAUCGGGUGGAGGUGCUCCAUAGUAGGCGUGUUGGCUUACUGUGCUAGUCUUUGAAGUAUGUUUUUUUUUGCCAUUGCAGAUGACAGUGAGUCCUAACUUUACUAUUACCAGUAUUUUUUUAAACUGAUAAUCUAGUAAUUUCAGUAAUUAGUCACACUUAAUCUUGUACAUAUUAUGCAAUGGUUUGUAUAAAUCUGAUGGUUUGUAUAAAAUAGUUUUGUACAUAUUAUGCAAUGGUUUGUAUAAAUCUGAUGGUUUGUAUAAAAUAGUUAACUUGCAUAAGUAAGCCAUAUAUUAAGUGGGUUUUUAUGCUCAUGUAUUUUAUUAGCUUAAUCCACUCUGGUUUUAGUUACUUCUCUCCCUAUUACUGUAAUUUCAAAAGCUAUUUUUUUUAUAUAUUUGGCCGUUUUUCAUAUGUAACUAAAUUUUCAGUUUAGGUCGGUUUCAUCUUUAUAUAAAAACUGUAGAAGGAUUGCUUAUGGAUUGGUAUUUCUGGUUUCUCAGAGCCCCCAUUUCAUUUUUAAUUUUGAAUCAUGAAAUCUAUUCAAAUCUUAAAAUCCAUGGAUAUAACUUUUUAGAUAUUUGGUGCAUGUUAGUAUUUUGAAGGAAGUUUGGUGUUAUAUAUAUUUUGUAAUUCGAAAUCUUUAGCAUAAAAGAAAACUUACGUAAUGAGCAACAGUGUACGUUAACUUUUUUUUUUCUUUUGUAUUACGGUUUGCUUUUAAUUUAGUCUUAUCCAAAGUUUUUCCUGUUGCUCUUCAUGACCUACAGGUGACCUUUCUCUGAGGGGAUUUGGAGUUAUUGUGCGAUUAGUUCGUGGAAUGCUGUCGUUUUUUUCCUAUUACAAAAGCGAGGCUUCCCUAAUUUGACUUUUGUAGUGUGAUAAAACAGGUUUUGAGAAUCUUUCUGUAACCGUAGAUUCAUGAUUAAGAAAGAUUCCAAUGUGUGCACAAUCCUGUAAUUACUAAUGUUUGUAACCACAAAAAAUUGACCCUGAUUGUCAGAAAAAGGGUAGGCUACAUAAGCUGUUAAAUGUUUUUGCUUAAGAUUCAAGGAUAUAAGAUUUUGAGUUUCCUUAAUGGUUCUAAUUUGGAUUAGUACUGUAUAUCAAAUUGUUAAAGGAUAUAAAGGAAAUUGACUGUGGCUCUAUUUUAAAUUUUCAUCUUAUAGCGUUCAGUGUUCUGAUGGCUGAGGCUGGUACGGCUUGAGU